CCUGGCGGCAGUAGCGCGGUGGUCCCACCUGACCCCAUGCCGAACUCAGAAGUGAAACGCCGUAGCGCCGAUGGUAGUGUGGGGCUCCCCAUGCGAGAGUAGGGAACUGCCAGGC
rnacentral:rRNA from 1 species